rnacentral:rRNA from 1 species
AAAGCUUGCUUUCUUUGCCGGCGACCGGCGCACGGGUGAGUAACACGUAUCCAACCUACCCUUUACUCGGGAUAGCCUUUCGAAAGAAAGAUUAAUACCCGAUAGCAUAAUGAUUCCGCAUGGUUUCAUUAUUAAAGGAUUCCGGUAAAGGAUGGGGAUGCGUUCCAUUAGGUUGUUGGCGGGGUAACGGCCCACCAAGCCUUCGAUGGAUAGGGGUUCUGAGAGGAAGGUCCCCCACAUUGGAACUGAGACACGGUCCAAACUCCUACGGGAGGCAGCAUG